ACUCCUACGGGAGGCAGCAGUGGGGAAUAUUGCACAAUGGGGAAACCCUGAUGCAGCCAUGCCGCGUGUGUGAAGAAGGCCUUCGGUUGUAAAGCACUUUCAGUAGGGAGGAAGGUAGUGUAGUUAAUACCUGCAUUAUUUGACGUUACCUACAGAAGAAGCACCGGCUAACUCCGUGCCAGCAGCCGCGGUAAUACGGAGGGUGCGAGCGUUAAUCGGAAUUACUGGGCGUAAAGCGCAUGCAGGCGGCCUGUUAAGUCAGAUGUGAAAGCCCGGGGGCUUAACCUCGGAAUUGCAUUUGAAACUGGCAGGCUAGAGUCUUGUAGAGGGGGUAGAAUUUCAGGUGUAGCGGUGAAAUGCGUAGAGAUCUGAAGGAAUACCAGUGGCGAAGGCGGCCCCCUGGACAAAGACUGACGCUCAGAUGCGAAAGCGUGGGGAGCAAACAGGAUUAGAUACCCUGGUAGCACAGAG
rnacentral:rRNA from 1 species